rnacentral:rRNA from 2 species
AAGGGCAAUGGGGGCUGCUAUACAUGCAAGUCGAGCGAACAGAUGAGAAGCUUGCUUCUCUGAUGUUAGCGGCGGACGGGUGAGUAACACGUGGGUAACCUACCUAUAAGACUGGGAUAACUCCGGGAAACCGGGGCUAAUACCGGAUAAUAUUUUGAACCGCAUGGUUCAAUAGUGAAAGACGGUUUCGGCUGUCACUUAUAGAUGGACCCGCGCCGUAUUAGCUAGUUGGUAAGGUAACGGCUUACCAAGGCGACGAUACGUAGCCGACCUGAGAGGGUGAUCGGCCACACUGGAACUGAGACACGGUCCAGACUCCUACGGGAGGCAGCAGUAGGGAAUCUUCCGCAAUGGGCGAAAGCCUGACGGAGCAACGCCGCGUGAGUGAUGAAGGUCUUCGGAUCGUAAAACUCUGUUGUUAGGGAAGAACAAAUUUGUUAGUAACUGAACAAGUCUUGACGGUACCUAACCAGAAAGCCACGGCUAACUACGUGCCAGCAGCCGCGGUAAUACGUAGGUGGCAAGCGUUAUCCGGAAUUAUUGGGCGUAAAGCGCGCGUAGGCGGUUUCUUAAGUCUGAUGUGAAAGCCCACGGCUCAACCGUGGAGGGUCAUUGGAAACUGGGAAACUUGAGUGCAGAAGAGGAGAGUGGAAUUCCAUGUGUAGCGGUGAAAUGCGCAGAGAUAUGGAGGAACACCAGUGGCGAAGGCGGCUCUCUGGUCUGUAACUGACGCUGAUGUGCGAAAGCGUGAGGAUCAAACAGGAUUAGAUACCCUGGUAGUCCACGCCGUAAACGAUGAGUGCUAAGUGUUAGGGGGUUUCCGCCCCUUAGUGCUGCAGCUAACGCAUUAAGCACUCCGCCUGGUGAGUACGACCGCCAGGUUGAUACUCAAAUGAAUUGACGGGGACCCGCACAAGCGGUGGAGCAUGUGGUUUAAUUCGAAUGCAACGCGAAGAACCUUAUCAAAUCUUGACAUCCUUUGACCGCUCUAGAGAUACAGUCUUCCCCUUCCGCGGACAAAGUGAAAGGUGUUGCAGGCUAGUCGUCAUCUCGUGUCGUGAGAUGUUGGGAUAAGGUCCCGCAUCUAGCUCAACCGUGAGCUUAUUUGCAUCAUUUAGUUCGGCCCUUCAAAGGUGACUGCCGGUGACCACCCGAAGAAAGGUGGGGAAGACGUCAAAUUUCAGGCCCCUUAAAAAUUCCCCCUUUAGAGUGGGGAAAAGGGCAACUCCCAGGGGGGGAAAAAACCAAAGGGCCAAAAACUCCGGGGGGGGGUUCUCCUUAUAUUGU